GGGGGGGGGGGGGGGGGGGCCGAGGGGAGGCGAGGCGGGCGGGCGUGUCGGGGUCAGCGGCGGACGGGGGGGUAGCGCGUGGGAAGAUGCCCUUCUCUACGGGAUAGUCCUGGGAAACUGGGGGUAAUGCCGUAUCCGCCCUUUGGGGGCACGAUUUAUCGGGGAAGGAUUAGCCCGCGUUGGGUUAGGUGGUUGGUGGGGUAAUGGCCUACCAAGCCGACGAUCCAUAGCUGGUUUGAGAGGAUGAUCAGCCCCACUGGGACUGAGACACGGCCCAGACUCCUACGGGAGGCAGCAGUGGGGAAUCUUAGACAAUGGGGGCAACCCUGAUCUAGCCAUGCCGCGUGAGUGAUGAAGGCCUUAGGGUUGUAAAGCUCUUUCAGCUGGGAAGAUAAUGACGGUACCAGCAGAAGAAGCCCCGGCUAACUCCGUG
rnacentral:rRNA from 1 species